GCCUUCUUAGCGCAGUGGGCUGCGCGUCAGUCUCAUAAUCCGAAGGUCCUGAGUUCGAGCCUCAGAGAGGGCA
rnacentral:tRNA from 2 species